rnacentral:rRNA from 1 species
UACGUAGGGACCGAGCGUUGUCCGGAAUCAUUGGGCGUAAAGAGCGUGUAGGCGGCAGCGCAAGUCGGGCGUGAAAUCCCACGGCUCAACCGUGGAAGUGCACUCGAAACUGCGCAGCUAGAGUCCUGGAGAGGAAGGUGGAAUGCUUGGUGUAGAGGUGAAAUUCGUAGAUAUCAAGCGGAACACCGGUGGCGAAGGCGGCCUUCUGGACAGUGACUGACGCUGAGAUGCGAAAGCGUGGGGAGCAAACAGG